rnacentral:rRNA from 1 species
AUUGAACGCUGGCGGCAGGCCUAACACAUGCAAGUCGAGCGAGAGGCGGACGGGUGAGUAAUGUAUGGGGACUGCCCGAUAGAGGGGGAUAACUACUGGAAACGGUGGCUAAUAACGCAUACUGUAGGAUAACCCAUAUGGGAUUAGCUAGUAGGUAAGGUAAUGGCUUACCUAGGCGACGAUCCCUAGCUGGUCUGAAAGGAUGAUCAGCCACACUGGGACUGAUACACGGUCCAGACUCCUACGGAGGCAGCAGUGGGGAAUAUGUCACAAUGGGCGCAAGCCUGAUGCAGCCAUGCCGCGUGUAGGAAGAAGGCCCUAGGGUUGUAAAGUACUUUCAGUCGGGAGGCGUUACCGACAGAAGAAGCACCGGCUAACUCCGUGCCAGCAGCCGCGGUAAUUC